GCUGGGCGUUGUGGCGGGCGCCUGUAAUCCCAGCUACUUGGGAGGCUGAGGCAAGAGAAUUGCUUGAACCCAGAAGGUGGAGGUUGCAGUGAGCUGAGAUCAAGCCACUGCACUCCAGACUGGGUGACAAAGCAAGACCCCAUCUCAA
rnacentral:SRP_RNA from 1 species